ACACGACUACAUUAGAUACCCGUGUAGUCCCAGCCGUAAACGAUGCGCGUUAGGUGUAUCGGUGACCACGAGUCACCGAGGUGCCGAAGGGAAACCGUGAAACGUGCCGCCUGGGUAGUACGGUCGCAAGGCUGAAACUUAAAGGAAUUGGCGGGGAGCACCACAACGGGUGGAGCCUGCGGUUUAAUUGGACUCAACGCCGGGAAGCUCACCGGAUAAGACAGCGGAAUGAUUGCCGGGCUGAAGACUCUGCAUGACUAGCUG
rnacentral:rRNA from 1 species